AAGCCAAACAAUUGAUUGCAUGAUUUGAAGGCUUAUAUAAUUCCAAAUGAAAGGGGGAGCUUUAAUUUCAGAGUUUACUGACUCAUACCUUUCAAUUUUGGAUACACUAAAUGGCUAGACAUUUGAAUUCAUUUCAAAACUUUACUAUGAAUCACUUCUUGAAUGAGCAAUUCACUUUACAAAUACUCAAUAUUUUGUCAUCAUCAAAAAGGGAGAGAUUGUGGAGUGAUUGAGUAUUCCCUAAUUGAUUUUGAUGAGCUCAAAGCAUUGGAGUAUGUCUUAUGUUAUUCUAAUGAAUUCAAUCUAGUGUUUCAGGUAAAUCUUUAUGAAUUUCUGUCUAAGU
rnacentral:lncRNA from 1 species